UACGAAGGGGGCUAGCGUUGCUCGGAAUCACUGGGCGUAAAGCGCACGUAGGCGGAUCUUUAAGUCAGGGGUGAAAUCCUGGAGCUCAACUCCAGAACUGCCUUUGAUACUGAGAAGCUUGAGUCCGGGAGAGGUGAGUGGAACUGCGAGUGUAGAGGUGAAAUUCGUAGAUAUUCGCAAGAACACCAGUGGCGAAGGCGGCUCACUGGCCCGGUACUGACGCUGAGGCACGAAAGCGUGGGGAGCAAACAGGG
rnacentral:rRNA from 1 species